GACGAACGCUGGCGGCGUGCCUAAUACAUGCAAGUAGAACGCUGAAGAGAGGAGCUUGCUCUUCUUGGAUGAGUUGCGAACGGGUGAGUAACGCGUAGGUAACCUGCCUUGUAGCGGGGGAUAACUAUUGGAAACGAUAGCUAAUACCGCAUAACAAUGGAUGACACAUGUCAUUUAUUUGAAAGGGGCAAUUGCUCCACUACAAGAUGGACCUGCGUUGUAUUAGCUAGUAGGUGAGGUAAUGGCUCACCUAGGCGACGAUACAUAGCCGACCUGAGAGGGUGAUCGGCCACACUGGGACUGAGACACGGCCCAGACUCCUACGGGAGGCAGCAGUAGGGAAUCUUCGGCAAUGGGGGCAACCCUGACCGAGCAACGCCGCGUGAGGGAAGAAGGUUGUCGGAUCGUAAAGCUCUGUUGUAAGUCAAGAACGGGUGUGAGAGUGGAAAGUUCACACUGUGACGGUAGCUUACCAGAAAGGGGCGGCUAACUACGUG
rnacentral:rRNA from 1 species